CCUUUUUUCUUAAGCUACGCCUGCAUGUCUUCGAAUAAGAGGAAGCAAUUCUCUCUGAAUCUGCGAACGGCUCCGCAAACCAGUUGUAAACUAUAGCAAGCAAGCCCUUCCUGCCUUCACGGGCGGGUUGGGUAACACGGAAUAACCCUGGUAAUUCUGAGGCUAAUAACGAGAACGUAAUGCUUGGUCAACCGGGAAACUGGAAGGCCGAGAAACGUGCAGUUAUUUCGCGAAGCUUUACCGGGAAUGGGCGCACGUUUGGACCGCGCUAAAAACGGAUGCUCGCUGAACCCUUUCACGAGGGGGAUGCUUGUGCCCGAGCGGCUCUUGCUGUGUGCUUCUGACCUAUCAACUAGAUGGCAGCGUAACGGACAUGCUAUGGUAACAACGGGUACAGAGGAUUAGGGUUCGAUCCUGGAGAGUGGGCCUGAGAGAUUGCUCAUACUUCUAAGGAAGGCAGCAGGCGCGCAACGUUCCCCUUGGGCAAUGCUUGAGGGCGUUAGGGGACAUAUGAAUGCCUGCCCAAUGGGUGGGCAAUUCAAAUGGGUCUGUUGUAAACAGGCUCUCGAGUAACAAUUAGAGGACAAGUCUGGUGCCAGCACCCGCGGUAAUUCCAGCUCUAAUAGCAUACGUUAAAGUUGUUGCGGUUAAAACGCUCGUAGUCGGCUUCAGACCAUCAGAAACCAGAGCCGAGAACCUGGGUCUUGCUGUCUUUCGGGACGCGCCGGGCGAUUAGCGACGGUGGGCGGUGGUCAAUCGUGCUCUCUGCUGUACCUUCGGGUUCACAGGGCCGGUCUUCGGGUCGGUUCGGCGGGGAGUGCCAUUCACCAUGAAUAAACUGAUGUGCCUCAAAGCGGGUCAUUAGAUCUUGCACAGCGCAGCAUGGCAUGAAUCAAACUGGUCCUGCCCUUUCGCGGGGGUGGGGUUGGUAGAAGCGAUAGGGAUGUUCGAGGGUGACCGAAUUGCCGGGCGAGUGGUGAAAUACGUUGACCCUGGCAAGUCGACCAAAGGCGAAAGCAGUCAUCAAGGGCAUACCCGUUGAUCAAGAGCGAAAGUUAAGGGUUCGAAGACGAUCAGAUACCGUCGUAGUCUUAACUAUAAAUGAUACUGGCCAGAGAUAGGAUAUUUGUCCAUCUCGACUCUUCCUGGAUCUUGGAGAAAUCAGAGUCUUGAGUCUGGGGAGUUUGGCCAACC
rnacentral:rRNA from 1 species